AUACAGAGGGUGCGAGCGUUAAUCGGAAUUACUGGGCGUAAAGCGCGCGUAGGCGGCUUGGUCAGUCGAAUGUGAAAGCCCCGGGCUCAACCUGGGAAUGGCAUUCGAUACUGCCAGGCUAGAGUAUGGGAGAGGGAAGUGGAAUUUCCAGUGUAGCGGUGAAAUGCGUAGAUAUCGGAAGGAACACCAGUGGCGAAGGCGACUUCCUGGCCCAAUACUGACGCUGAGGUGCGAAAGCGUGGGGAGCGAACAGGAUUAGAAACCCUAGUAGUCC
rnacentral:rRNA from 1 species